ACAGAUGAUGGCAUUUUUCUCAGAGGGUUACAGAAAUACUAAGUCACCGGUCAUCUCAGUGUGACGUGUGUCCAAGGGAAACCAGGAAAUGAAGGAUAAUGAAGCCAUCUGAGAAGACAACAGUGUCCAGAGGCUCUGGGGCCCUGGGGCAGCACAGCUCCACACUGGUCAGGAAUGGAGGUCAAUGGUGACAAGGCAUCACCUUCGCCUGGGCAGGAGGAGGGCAGGCCCGCUGUGUGCAGGAGGCCCUGGCAUCAUCUGGUCCCCAGGGUAUGAGAGGCAUCGAGAGACAAGUCUACCUGUACCGAAGGAAUAAAACACCUGCUCAGCUCAGCUUGGAAAUAAACCAGUAAGACACGGGUCGACCUCCCCCCACGGCCACGGAGACAGUCAGAACUCUGCCAUUACAGACUGUAUGGAAAAAUAAAAAGAGUUCGGACUGUAGCAACUUCAUUAAAUUCCUGACUCAAAAACACCCAGAGAAAAACAACCUCCCAGAAAGAGCACAGCCUGGAACAGAGAGACAUCUGAUGAAACUGCUCCUCGGAUUAUUUUUUUUUCCUCUGUUCUCCAGUUUUGUGUCUUACUCAUUACUUAACAUAUAUUUACAUGCCUGCUUUCUAAAAAUAGCUCUAGUUCUAAUUACUCUGCUUAGUAAUUUCCAGGACCAUUUGGGCUGAAGAUUAAAUGCCAGAUCUUCCUUGAAAAACUACUUUUAAGGCAUGUAGAGAGAGGCACAAAAUUAUACUUCUUGACAAUUCUGAUGUGUGCCCGGGGAAGCAGCCCCUUCCACACAAACACCACCGCUCCCAAUCUGGCAGGGAAGGCCACAGCUGCCAGCGUCACGUGUAGGCAGAUGCAGAGGAUAAAGGAGGCAAAGAGGACAGUUGCAACUGCCAAUUUCCCCAAUCCUUCGGAAAUAUACCUCAUUUACCUCAAGAGACAGGACAGGACAUUUACAGUCCCAGAAAUGUACUCAUAUGCCCCAAGUAUAUCUCCUUG
rnacentral:lncRNA from 1 species